UAUCCAGACUCCUACGGGAGGCAGCAGUGGGGAAUAUUGCACAAUGGGGGAAACCCUGAUGCAGCGACGCCGCGUGAGCGAAGAAGUAUUUCGGUAUGUAAAGCUCUAUCAGCAGGGAAGAAAUUGACGGUACCUGAGUAAGAAGCUCCGGCUAAAUACGUGCCAGCAGCCGCGGUAAUACGUAUGGAGCAAGCGUUAUCCGGAUUUACUGGGUGUAAAGGGAGCGUAGACGGCCAUGCAAGCCAGGGGUGAAAGCCCGGGGCCCAACCCCGGGACUGCCCUUGGAACUGUGCGGCUAGAGUGCGGGAGGGGCAGGCGGAAUUCCUGGUGUAGCGGUGAAAUGCGUAGAUAUCAGGAGGAACACCGGCGGCGAAGGCGGCCUGCUGGACCGCGACUGACGUUGAGGCUCGAAAGCGUGGGGAGCGAACAGGAUUAGAUACCCCCGUAUG
rnacentral:rRNA from 1 species